AUUUUCAUAUUUACCGUUAAUAGCAUCGCUGAUUAUAUGUUCCCUCUUAUCAGUUGUGUAUGGGGCCAUUCACCGCAACAUACUAGCAAUCCACACCUGCAACAACUUUGCUGCCAUUAAGCUAUGGGUAAUAAAAUUCAUCUUUGUCAUGAUAUGGCAUUCCUUGGUGACUAUCUCACGUGUAGUGACUCUGGCAUUUUUCCCUGCAUCUCUGAAACUGAGGACCCUACACUUUCUAUUAAUCAUAUAUUUUGUAUUAUUUUUGGCAUCAUGGCCGGAGAUUUGGAAAACUGGAGUUCAUUUUCAUAGCAACACAGAAAAUAAUUCCAGCAUGGCGGGUACAGUAUGGAUGCUUAUCUUAACCAUGCUAGUAUAAGCUGCCAUCAACUUCUCUGCUGGUCAUCAGUUAAGCUGCAGCUGUCAAAUAAGAAAAUAAUUGACAAGAGACAGAGGUGGACCACACAAUCCAACACUGCAGCUUUCCGGUUUUAG
rnacentral:lncRNA from 1 species